rnacentral:rRNA from 1 species
CCUACGGGAGGCAGCAGUGAGGAAUAUUGGACAAUGGAGGGAACCCUGAUCCAGCGACGCCGCGUGAGUGAAGAAGGAUUUCGGUAUGGAAAACUGUAUCAGCAGGGAAGAAAAUGACGGUACCUGACUAAGAAGCACCGGCUAACUACGUGCCAGCAGCCGCGGUAAUACGUAGGGGGCAAGCGUUAUCCGGAUUUACUGGGUGUAAAGGGGGCGUAGACGGUGCAGCAAGUCUGAUGUGAAAGGGCGGGGCCCAACCCCGGGACUGCAUUGGAAACUGUUGAACUGGAGUAUAGGAGAGGUAAGCGGAAUGCCUAGUGUAGCGGUGAAAUGCGUAGAGAUUAGGCGGAACACCAGUGGCGAAGGCGGCUUACUGGACUGUAACUGACGUUGAGGCUCGAAAGCGUGGGGAGCAAACAGGAUUAGAUACCCCAGUAGUC